CACAGAGAAAAAAAUGUAGACAAUGAGUGUGUAUAUGUCCAUGAAUGACUGAAAAAGUUGUGCUGAACACUGGAAUUUGACACAACAAUUUAAAAUGAUUAUGAAUCAAUAAAAAAUGUUAA